UUUAGGCUGGGUUUCUGUACAGCACUUUGAGAUAUCAGCUGAUGUACGAAGGGCUAUAUAAAUACAUUUGAUUUGAAUUGAUUUGAGGGUUGGGUGCUCUAGAUUAGUCAAGGACUGGAGGGUUGGGUCCUCCUCUAGAUUAGUGAAGGAGAGGAGGGGUGGGUCCUCCUCUAGAUUAGUGAAGGACUGGAGGGUUGGGUCCUUCCCUAGGUUAGUGAAGGACUGGAGGGUUGGGUCCUUCCCUAGGUUAGUGAAGGAUAGGAGGGUUGGGUCCUCCUCUAGAUUAGUGAAGGAGUGGAGGGUUGGGUCCUCCUCUAGAUUAGUGAAGGAGUGAAGGUCUGGGUCCUACCCUAGAUUAUUUAAGGAGUGGAUGGUUGGGUCCUCUAGAUUAGUGAAGGAGUGGAGGGUUGGGUCCUCCUCUAGAUUAGUGAAAGAGUGGAGGGUUGGGUCCUUCUCUAGGUUAGUGAAGGGUUGGGUCCUUCCCUAGGUUAGUGAAGGAUAGGAGGGUUGGGUCCUCCUCUAGAUUAGUGAAGGAUCAGGUGUUUGGGUCCUCCUCUAGAUUAGUGAAAAGGUGAAGGGUUCGGUCCUCCUCUAGUUUAGUGAAAGAGUGGAGGGUUGUGUCCUCCUCUAGAUUAGUGAAGGAGAGGAGGGUUGGGUACUCCUCUAGAUUAGUGAAGGGUUCAGUCCUCCCCUAGUUUAGUGAAGGUCUGGGUCCUCCCCUAGAUUAGUGAAGGAGUGGAGGGUUGGGUCCUCUAGAUUAGUGAAAGAGUGGAGGGUUGGGUCCUCCUCUAGAUUAGUGAAGGAGUGGAGGGUUGGGUCCUCCUCUAGGUUAGUGAAUGAGUGGAGGGUUGGGUCCUUCCCUUGGUUUGUGAAGGACUGGAGGGUUGGGUCCUCCUCUAGGUUAGUGAAGAAGUGGAGGGUUGGGUCCUCCUCUACAUUAGUGAAAGAGUGGAGGGUUGUGUCCUCCUCUAGAUUAGUGAAGGAUCGGAUGUUUGGGUCCUCCUCUAGAUUAGUGAAAAGGUGAAGGGUUCGGUCCUCCUCUAGAUUAGUGAAGGAUUGGAGGGUUCUGUCCUCCUCUAGAUUAGUGAAGGAGUGGAGGGUUCGGUCCUCCUCUAGAUUAGUGAAGGAAUGGAGGGUUGGGUCCUCCUCUAGUUUAGUGAAGGGUUGCAUUGUCCCCUAGAUUAGUGAAGGAGAGGAGGGUUGGGUACUCCUGUAGAUUAGUGAAGGUUUCAGUCCUCCCCUAGUUUAGUGAAGGCCUGGGUCCUCCCCUAGAUUAGUGAAGGAUUGGAGGGUUUGGCCCUUCACUCGGUUAGUGAAGGAGUAGAGGGUUGGGUCCUCCUCUAGGUUAGUGAAGGAGUAGAGGGUUGGGUCCUCCUCUAGGUUAGUGAAGGAGUGGAGGGUUGGGUCCUCCUCUAGAUUAGUGAAGGAGUGGAGGGUUGGGUCCUCCUCUAGAUUAGUAAAGAAGUGGAGGUUUGGGUCCUCUAGAUUAGUGAAGGAGUGGAGGGUUGGGUCCUCCUCUAGAUUAGUGAAGGAUUGGAGGGUUGGGUCAUUCCCUAGGUUAGUGAAGGAGUGGAGGGUUGGGUCCUCCUCUAGAUUAGUGAUGGAAUGGAGGGUUGGGACCUCCUCUAGUUUAGUGAAGGGUUGCGUCCUCCCCUAGAUUAGUGAAGGAGUGGAGGGUUCGGUCCUCCUCUAGAUUAGUGAUGGAAUGGAGGGUUGAAACCUCCUCUAGUUUAGUGAAGGGUUGCGUCCUCCCCUAGAUUAGUGAAGGAGUGGAGGGUUGGGUCCUCCUCUAGAUUAGUGAAGGGUUCAGUCCUCCCCUAGUUUAGAGAAGGCCUGGGUUCUCCC
ensembl:lncRNA